rnacentral:piRNA from 1 species
UGUCAAGUAGGUGAACUGUAUUUAAAUGA